rnacentral:rRNA from 1 species
UAUGUAGGGAGCAAGCGUUGUCCGGAAUCAUUGGGCGUAAAGCGCGCGUAGGCGGCUCGAUCAGUCUGUUGUGAAAGUCAAAGGCUCAACCUUUGAAUGCCGAUGGAUACUGUCGAGCUAGAGUCCGGAAGAGGCGGGUGGAAUUCCUGGUGUAGCGGUGGAAUGCGCAGAUAUCAGGAGGAACACCAACGGCGAAGGCAGCCCGCUGGGACGGUACUGACGCUAAGGCGCGAAAGCGUGGGGAGCGAACAGG